rnacentral:tRNA from 1 species
GGAUAUAGCUCAGUGGUAGAGAAUUUCCCUAGCAAAACACCAGGCCCUGGGUUCAAAUCCCAGUUCCA